ensembl:lncRNA
UGUGUGUGUGUGUGUGGAGUUGGGGGGAGACCUCCCAAAGCCAACUCAGCCGCCAUCUAUUUGAGUCACCCCCAUCCAUUGAGAGACCCCAGUUUCAUUUGUGUCCGUGUUGGUGGCUGUCUGUUAGCAUGCAGCCGUCGCACUGAGCUGGUAAUGCCAUGGUUUGUAAUGGUUUGUUAGGUGUGGCUGAGGAUCGCACCCGGGGGAGAAGGGACCAUGGGAACGGGGAGAGAUCCGUGGUUGGUCCCAAGCUGACCAGAACAAAGGCCGUGGUCAUGGGUUCAUGUGGAAAAAGUAGAAGAAAAAAAUAAAUAGUAGGAGCAAUGUAACUGCAUCCAUUUAUUUGAGGCAAUUAUAUAUUCAACUCCUAAAAUGGUGGGAUGUAAAAUGAGGCCUGACCUUCUGUCUUGUUUAUCUUUGGCGUUAGAGGGAAAACCAACUAGCUCACCUGCAUGGGGGGAAAACCCUAAGCCUUCCCACCGAGAGGCAAGAGCUAACCACUCUACCGCUGCUCAACCAAAUGAUAACCUGCACAUCACAUCAACGUACAACUUUGUGCUCUUUUUUAAACAGCUUCUUUCAGAGGAAAUCAUUAGUUUACUAGGGAUAGGAAGUUACAUUUUCGUUUUAAAGCGGUCACAGCGGUGGAGGAAUAGAGGGACUGCUCGUUGGGUGGUUUGGUCAGUAAUUGUUGCUUUGCAUCUUGGCUUCAGCAGACUGUUUAGUCAGACUUUGAAGCUAAUCCGACUUAAAGAGUUAGUCAUUUACAUGCCCAGACUUUUUCUAUAUGUGGGAGGCUAGAUCAUUGUGUGUGUGUGUGUGUGUGUGUGUGUGUGUGUGUGUGUGUGUGUGUGUGUGUGUGUGUGUGUGUGUGUGUGUGUGUGUGUGUGUGUGUGUGUGUGUGUGUGUGUGUGUGUGUGUGUGUGUGUAAUAUAUAUACACAGCCUAGCAGCUGCAUUCCAACCUGAUAGUUUAUUCAGUUGAAUUGAGUUUAGCCACAGCCCUGACAAUGCUCACGUCAACGGAAAUGGUCAGCUGACCAAUUCCUCGUCUUCGCCCACCCCCCCAUAAUGAUCAGAAUGUAAUAUUUACUGCCCCCGCAUCCGCCUACGGGUGGAAAUGACCUCCCGCUGAGCAAUGACGAAUCCUACACCCAGUUCUGGUGUGGGGGGGGGGGGGGGCUGCUUCCUCAUUUCUUCCCUGCUGACUCACCACUGAGGCCCGGCCUCCUGGCCUCGGCCUCCGUCCCUUACUGGUGUCCGGUGGUUGGGCCGAGUUCCGGGUUCCUGGCAAUUGAUUAGAUAAUGGUGCUUUGGCGAGGAGGCCAGGAUGCCUGUGGUGAACCCAACACAGCCAGAAUUAACCGGUACAGAGACGGAGAGAGGACCAGGAGGAGGAAGAGGAGGAGGAAGGGAAGUGAAUGUAAUCUCCUUAUGAGGCGCUGGUGAAAAUUGGUUAAAGAUGGAGUGUUGUACCGAUGUUUCUGAACCCAGUGGCGCGACAGCCAAGGCAUGGUGCAUCCGGUGGAAGGCAAGGAAGAGGAGAACACGCAGUGGUUGGCCUUGCCAUUAGCAGCAGUAUGCUAUUCUACAGAAGAGGUUUACCACAGGCUCGUCACCAGGUAAACAGAUUAGGGGCCACAUUUCUAGAGCCCAGCACUGUAAUACACAUUGUUCAUAGAUUGGUAAAUGAGUAUUUGUGUUUAUUUGUUGAAAGGCUCAAGUUUGUUUGGUGAGUAUAGUAGAAAAGGGAAGAGAUAAGUGAGAUGAGAAUGGGUAGGAGGUCAUCUUCAUAUAGAAACUGAUCACUUUAGACUAGUUUCCUAGCUAUCUCUAUAGAGAUUGUGUCAUUCUACUUCCUUAGUUACAUACUACUUCUUAGUGUCAUUUUUAUCAAAGUUUCUCCUGCAGUAACGUUUUUUGGCCAAUGGUCUAUGUGAGGUUUUUCUUGCCUGAAGACUAUAAACGAUUGGAAAGAAGAUUUUAUAAAAUAAAAUUUAUAAGUAUUAAACAUUUACGACAUGGCCUGUAGGAUUCCAACGUUUCACAGGCCAUGCCGUUCUAAAGAAGAACAUCUCGUCAGGUCGUUGGAACAAAGAGGACUGUUGUUCUUGAGAAGGUCACAAGAUUUGGAGUUUAGAUUUAGAUGCAACAUAAACGAUGCCCAUGGGAGGAAUUUCACUGUCAGACUUCCGCUAAAUAACAGUUUGGCUUUAUAUUUCUGUUUUUAUACCGUAGUCUUUUCAUUUGUACGCUCUGUGUCUGGUUUCUUGAUGCAGCAUCAAUGAUAGAAGUGCCUUUACUUACAAUGUUCCUAAAAUCCUCAAGCCAAAUAUGAUAACUUGUGAUUUCUUCAUCAUUUAAUUUAGGAUCAUUAUGCACUGCUCUUUUACAUGUGUCAUCAUGGGUCCCUUUAUUUGCUCAUAGCUAAGACAAACAGUGCUGAACAAUUAAGAAGUGAGUUCCUAACUUCCUCCCACUUGAAAAACUGGAAAUGCUUCACUAUAAAUUUGUUUUAUACCGAAUUAUAUCUGAUGCUAGGCAGAUAAAAUGGUUUAAUGGUUAGAGACCUCAGCCUUCAGCCAAAAUGUUCUGCUUUGGGAAUGAGUAAAUAUUAAAUACAUCACUAAAACAUUAAAAAAAUCGCCAAACAUUUUAGUGGUUGAAUGGAGUUAUUUGCACUUCUUUAAAUUACACAUAUGUAUAUUUCUUUGUCUCAUCUUGGCGUUCUCAAGAGUCUGCCUUUUAAAUGUCUAUCUCACUCCCAGGACGAGAGAAGGGGGAUUCGAGUCGCUUUCAAUGCAUUCUGAUCUGAGGACGCAGUUCCCCUCUACGCCCAGUCGGGGGCAGUGUUUAUCAGAGACCUGCUGCCCUAACCCGCCAGCCUUUUUAGGAUGCAGGAUUCAUGCCUGGCAGUCUGUGUGCUUGCCUGUGACCACCUACUUGUCCGGCCUCUCUUCCACACUGCCUGUUCUCUACCUGCCCGCUCGCAUAGUUAUGCACAACUCCCCAUCUGUGUCUGUCUGCCUGUCUCUCUGAGUGUCCCCAUUCCUGGUCACCGACUGUCUGAACGCCUGUCUCCUCCUCUGUUCCUGUCUGGCCGCCCAGGUGUCUGGCUUUGCCCUUCUUUUUCAUCCUUCGUUGUCCUUGUCAUGUUGUUUGAAACGUCUGGCUGCAGCGUACUGCUGUGCUGGUUCCCUAUCAGUGUCUGACUGUCUGUCUAGCUCUCUGUCUGACUGUCUGGCUCUUUUCAUCUCUAUCUUCUGCCUAGUUGAAUGUCUAGCUCUCUGUCUGUCCGUCUAGCUCUCUGUCUGUCUGUCUGUCUGUCUGCCUGUCUGUCUGUCUGUCUGUCUGUCUGUCUGUCUGUCUGUCUGUCUGUCUGUCUGUCCGUCCAUCCGUCUGCCGUCCGUCCGUCCGUCCGUCCGUCCGUCCGUCCGACUGGCUGGCAGGCUGGCUGGCUGGCUGGCUGGCUGGCUGGCUGGCAGUGUACCCAUCACCCACCUGGUUGUGCUGUGUGCGCGUCUGGCACCCAGCUGGGUGGGGGCUAGAUAACAAGCCCCCCUGCUGCUCAACCGCUAUCACAGCACCGAGGGAGAGAGAGAGAGAGAGUAGACACCAUCGCUAGGGGAGAGCGGGAGAAGGCAGUCACUAUUACAUGAAGAGGGGCCGAUUAGGAGGAAGAGGAGGGUUGAAGAGGAAAAUAAGCAAUGGACAAGUAGACCUUGAGAGAGAGGGAGGGAGAAUGGAUGAUGGAUGAAGAGAAACAGGUUGAAGGAAUCGUCAUUACUAGUCUUUGUAAUGAGAACUACAUAUGUCAUUACUUUCUGUCAAAACAAAAAUGUUUUCCAUUGUGGUUGUUUUAACCUAAUGCACCAAUCAAUUAUGUUUGCCUGCCUCUAUGUGAUCAAUGCUUGCAACUUCUACAUUUGGGAUGAGGAUGUGAUGAGGAGACAGACCAAUGAGGCUGUUAAAAUGGUCCUUAUUUUUGUGCUAUUGAAUUAACACACACAUACACACACACACACACACACACACACACACACACACACACACGUCAGUGAACAACAGAGCUGUAUUAGGAAACAUCAUGCACACAGAAAAACAACCAACAAAAAAAGGUCAUGUGAAUUCCAGAUUGUUGUAAUGUAAAUAACUCACAUUUGCACUUCAUAUAUGAGUAUAAUGCAAAACCCUGGACUGUACACGAAUGCUACAUGAACAGCAGUCUUCCCUCUGAUGUGGUCUGAUACUGAACUCUGAUACUGUCCCACUCGCUAAAGACGUAUAUGUUGUCUUAUCCUGGCCAUGAGAUUAUGUUUGAGAAUUGGCAAGAGCUGCAAUUAAGGAGCCGAGGUUAAACCUAACUCCCACCUUAUUCUUCAUGUUUAACCUCUGUUUUUCUUUUAUUCCUAGUCUGUCUUACAUAGUUUUGAUAGGCCAAUAUGUAAAGCGUCUUAGAGUACCAUAUUAAGCACUAUAUAAAUUUCAUUUAUUAUUAUUAUUAUUAUUAUUAAACCUGGCUGACUUCACGUUGACCUCUUCAGAGUAGGAGGUUUAAAAUGGCUGACUUCACGUUAACCUCUUCACAGUGCAAAGAUUAAACCUGGCUGACUUCACGUUGACCCCUUCAGAGUACAGAGGUUUUACAUGGCUGACUUCACUUUGAGGUUAAACCUGGCUGACUUCACGUUGACCUCUUCAGAUUACAGAGGUUUAACCUGGUUGACUUCACGUUGACCCCUUCAGAUUACGGAGGUUUAACCUGGCUGACUACGAGGAUCAGAUUGCGAAAAAAAUGCCAUUUAAAACUAUUACAAUACCAGAAUAGAACCAUAAAUAUUUAGGUUAACACAGAUACACACAACAGUAGCCUAUAUACAUUUGUUUUGCCAUGUACUGUAGCCUCUGGUUCAUAACUCAUAGCGUUGGCCUAAAGGCCUUAUCUGUUAACACAGUUAGUGUGAAUAGUUGAACACUGUAUUGUUAUGUGGCUUGUAUGAAGCUAUGUCUUUCAUUUUAGGAAUGUUGAAAACUAAAUGAGCUGGUUGAUCGUAGUUUAUUCACCUGUAAAAGUAGCUGACCGCCUGAUAGUGUUUGCUGCUUCACUCGGCUUGCUUCAUUUCUACUACAAGAUGCAUUUACACUCAAUGUUUAUUUGCAUUAUGUUGGCCUGACUGUCUCUGGCUGGAUCUGAUUGGAUGUACAAUGAGUGAGUAAACUAGAAAAUGAAAAUGCCUCCAACUGUGCCAAAGACUUAUAUGGCAAUUUUAGAACAUUUGCAAUGUUUUUGUGAUGAACAAAUGCUUAAACAUAAUAAAAAAAAAACGUUCAGUAUACAUAUUUACUAUCCACAAUUGAGUCAUCUAUUUAGUGUUGUUUACAGUACCAAACUUCUUGGCUGUGUGUGUGUGUGUGUGUGUGUGUGUGUGUGUGUGUGUGUGUGUGUGUGUGUGUGUGUGUGUGUGUGUGUGUGUGUGUGUGUGUGUGUGUGUGUGUGUGUGUGUGUGUGUGUGUGUGUGUGUGUGUGUGUGUGUGUGUGUGUGUGUGUGUGUGUGUGUGUGUGUGUGUGUGUGUGUGUGUGUGUGUGUGUGAGUUUGUAAAGGAGUGAGCGGGCGCAUGCUAAACCCAGCCUCUGUGUUUGUUUCUCUUUGUUUUGAUCCAUGGAGCUGAACCCGGGAUUCUCAUUCUCCACAUUUCUUGGUGAUGUGAUAAGAGUGAAACUAGCGAGCUAGCUACACCUCCCACGCCCUAUAGGGCUACGAUACCACGCACACACACACCCACACAAACACACAAACACACACACAUACACACGCACACACACAUAACUCUUCAAUGAGACCAUUCUAAGAAGCACUACAUUAAGCAGCCUAAAGCAAUGCACUAUCUUCUGAUAGUAAAUGCAUACAAAGACAUUUUCUAAAACAAGAAGACUGAUUUCAUGUCCUAAAUUCACAGUUAAUCCACUUAUCUGUUCUCCAUUUGGAGUGACUAAACACUAGACACUAGACUAAACACUCUUUUUUUCCUUUUUUUAACCCUUCCCAUCUAACCCUUCCCAUGUCAUUUUUGUGUUGGUUUCUGC